UACACGCAAAGAUAGCAAUAGGCAAGAGAGACAGAAAUUAAAACAAGGUACAAUCAAAAAGACAUUUGAUUGAUAGAAUACAAGACAGUAUAAAACUUUGUGAAUAAAAUUGAGUGCGGGAUAGUGGCGGACGGGUGAGUAACGCGUGAAUAAUCUGCCCCAUACAGGGGGAUAGCCUCGGGAAACCGGGAUUAAAACCGCAUAACACUUUAUCACCGCAUGGUGAUGAAGUCAAAUCGAUUAAGAGGUAUGGGAUGAGUUCGCGUCUGAUUAGCUAGUUGGCGGGGUAAAGGCCCACCAAGGCGACGAUCAGUAGCCGGCCUGAGAGGGUGACCGGCCACACUGGAACUGAGACACGGUCCAGACUCCUACGGGAGGCAGCAGUGGGGAAUAUUGCACAAUGGGGGAAACCCUGAUGCAGCGACGCCGCGUGAGUGAAGAAGGUCUUCGGAUCGUAAAACUCUGUCCUUGGUGACGAAGGAAGUGACGGUAACCAAGGAGGAAGCCCCGGCUAACUACGUG
rnacentral:rRNA from 1 species